rnacentral:lncRNA from 1 species
ACUCGCGGAGCGCGGAGAAAGUUACAAGGGAGCUGGGGACCAAGUGCCUGAAGGAGCACCGAGCGUGAUGACUGGCUCAGAGCGGAGGUUCAGCAAAGGCUCCGUGAUUGACUGAAUCAUUGCCUUCGAAUGAAGCGAUGAUGGGCGGUUGAAGAGCAUGCAGCAUGGGUACCACACUGAGAUGGAUUAGCUUCAUCCGCUGACACGUGGAGGCCAGAAGUGAAAGUAAUGAGAGCCCACCUCUGGAUGACAGUACAGACUCUUUCUGUAACAGUCUUACUAGGAUCAAAUAUGUUUAAAGAACUGAGGACCCAUACAACAAUUGGUUGUUUGUGUCUAGGAGUGAACAUAUGAUAAGGAAAAGUGCUGUCAGACUGUGUUGACGGAGGCUGCAGUGAACAUCACCAUUGCUUUUCUGUCUGUUGAGCUCCCUGGUAAAAUCUGGAGGAAGGAAGGCAGUGGAGAAGCUAUCAUCCAUGCGCCAGAGAAGAUCUGGAGACCAUCUUCAUCUACCUGUUUAUUUUCAGCUUCUGGUCCUCAUUGCAUUAGAAAAAAAUCCGCGUUUUUAUUUUAUAUAACGCAUUCCUAAAUGUGUUCUGUAUGUAAAGGACGAAUAA